AACGUAGGACGCGAGCGUUGCUCGGAAUUACUGGGCGUAAAGCGCACGUAGGCGGCUUUCUAAGUCGGGGGUGAAAUCCUGGAGCUCAACUCCAGAACUGCCUUCGAUACUGCGGGUCUCGAGUCCGGGAGAGGUGAGUGGAAUUCCUAGUGUAGAGGUGAAAUUCGUAGAUAUUAGGAAGAACACCAGUGGCGAAGGCGGCUCACUGGCUCGGUACUGACGCUGAGGCGCGAAAGCGUGGGGAGCAAACAGG
rnacentral:rRNA from 1 species